GCUCUUUUAGUCCCCCACCUCAAAAAUAUAAUUUGGCUCCCAUGUCCUCUAACAGUGUCUUGAGGCAGAAGAAGCCACACUGAAUGAACACUUUUAACUAGUAACUUAAGUGUACUAACAGAAAAGAAACAAAAUACCGUAUUUUCCGGCGUAUAAGACGACCCCCAACUUUUCCAGUUAAAAUAUAGAGUUUGGGAUAUACUCGCCGUAUAAGACUACCCCCUCUUCCACUGCACACCAAAUAAAAAUUAGCCAUGAUGUACAGUGAGCAGACAGAGCUACACAGCAAGACAUUAAAUAAUGAUAAUCUGAAAUAGCAUUUAAAGCCCAGGUAUGUGCCAGGCUGUUUGGGCAUAUAAUCCAUGCCUGCUGGUCUAGCACACAGGAGGCUAAUUGCGAUAUAUU